GGAAGGAUCAUUAUUGAAUAAACUUGAGCAGGCUGUUGCUGGCCCUCUGGGGUAUGUGCACGCUUGUCAUCUUUAUCUCUCCAACUGUGCACAUAUUGUAGACCUAGAAGCUUUUAUUUUGAUUUAUUCAGAUUGAGGACUGCUGUGCUUUCAAGUCAGCUUUGCCUUGUAUUUCCAGGUCUAUGUUAUUUUUCACAACCUCUGAAUGUGUUUAGAAUGUUGAAUUGGGUCAUUUGUACCUAUAAAGUUAUAAAUAUACAACUUUCAGCAACGGAUCUCUUGGCUCUCGCAUCGAUGAAGAACGCAGCGAAAUGCGAUAAGUAAUGUGAAUUGCAGAAUUCAGUGAAUCAUCGAAUCUUUGAACGCACCUUGCGCUCCUUGGUAUUCCGAGGAGCAUGCCUGUUUGAGUGUCAUUAAUCUCUCAACCACACCAUUUUGGUGGUGUGGCUUGGACAUGGGGGUUUUUGCAGGCUUUAAAAAUGAAGUCAGCUCCUCUGAAAAUGUAUUAGUGGUAUCUGAGCAGAAAACUACUACAGGUGUGAUAACUAUCUAUGCCUUGGUGUACUGCAUGAACAGAUUAUGCUGCUUCUUAAACAAGUGAUGCCCUUGGGCCACAAUUUUGACAAAUUUGACCUCAAAUCAGGUAGG
rnacentral:rRNA from 1 species